rnacentral:rRNA from 1 species
CCCUUAGAUGUUCUGGGCCGCACGCGCGCUACACUGACUACUUCAACGAGUUGUUUCCUUGAUCGAAAGGUCUGGGUAAUCUUUGAAAGGUAGUCGUGAUGGGGAUAGAUCCUUGCAAUUUUUGAUCUUCAACGAGGAAUUCCUAGUAAACGCAAGUCAUCAGCUUGCAUUGAUUACGUCCCUGCCCUUUGUACACACCGCCCGUCGCACCUACCGAUUGAAUGGUCCGGUGAAGCCUCCGGAUUGGCGCGCACCUCGGUGCCGCCGAGAAGUUGGCUAAACCUUACCAUUUAGAGGAAGGUGAAGUCGUANCA